GGGGGCGUAAAGGUUUCGACGGGGAUUCGGAAGUACGAAUAGCGGGUAGAGGCGCCCAGCCCUCUAUAAAAUGGGCAAGAAAAAUAAACGCUAACAAUAAUAAAUUAGCUUACGCGGCCUAAUUAAGGCUGCCGUCCGACCGAUGAGUACCGCGGCUUCGGAUUCGGGCGUGGAUUAGCGGUGAACGGCGCCGGGAGCUUUUUCCGUACCGGCGUUGUAUAAGGAAAAUACCGAGCCCCGCAGCCUGGCUUUCGGCGGCGGGGCAAGGGAAACUUAAAAGAAAGCCUGCACCCGGAGAAGUUUGUAUGGAUGGGUUUUCGGACAGGGGUUCGACUCCCCUCGCCUCCACCA
rnacentral:tmRNA from 1 species